CCCUAGUCCCAGGACGCUGCAGGACCAGACAGUGCGGUUUAAGCUGGCUGUGAAGCUGCAAAAGACGGAACCAGCUUCCCACAGCAUGGCAGUGCUGGGAACCUGAAGAACUGGCCUGGAUGAGGACAGCGCCGGAGUCCAGGACAGAGUUCUGUUCUGUGAAUCAAUGAUAAUGAUGAUAAUGAGGGAAAUGUAUGCAUCCGACACAUCAGGAAAAAUUUGAAUCGGCAGAUGUAGAAUAAUAAACCUCAUCUUUAUUUUC